GAGCUGAAAGUGGAUUCCAGGCAGACCUCACAGCCAUCUCCUAACCAUCAGCAAGUUGAGGUGCAAAACCUGGUGCACUCUGUGGUCAAGGAAUUGUGGGUGAUGCACGACCUUGGAGGAGAAGGUCCAAGGGUUCUAUCUGGAGAGCACAAGCCAGUUCCAUCUGAACUUUUUAUACAAAGUUUAACCUGCGCUCAACAUCUCACGAUGACCACCAGGCGCAAUUACUGCAAGCAUAUCUAUGAACUGUGCUGGGAGAUGCUUUUGGAUAUCUUUCCCGACGAUUCAAAACCCGCUUGGUGCAGGCCAAAACCUAAGUUUGAUAUGAGCAAGAUAAAAUCCUUGCGUGAUGUUCAGGACUACGUAACCAGAAAGGUCUUCAGACU